rnacentral:rRNA from 1 species
UUAGUGGCGGACGGGUGAGUAACGCGUGGGUAACCUGCCUCAUACAGGGGGAUAACAGUUAGAAAUGACUGCUAACACCGCAUAACAUGGCGAGACCGCAUGACCUUGCCAUCAAAAAUUUAUUGGUAUGAGAUGGGCCCGCGUCUGAUUAGCUAGUUGGUGGGGUAAAGGCCUACCAAGGCGACGAUCAGUAGCCGACCUGAGAGGGUGAUCGGCCACAUUGGAACUGAGACACGGUCCAAACUCCUACGGGAGGCAGCAGUGGGGAAUAUUGCACAAUGGGCGAAAGCCUGAUGCAGCGACGCCGCGUGAGGGACGAAGGUCUUCGGGUUGUAAACCUCUUUCAGCAGGGAAGAAGCGAAAGUGACGGUACCUGCAGAAGAAGCGCCGGCUAACUACGUGCCAGCAGCCGCGGUAAUACGUAGGGCGCAAGCGUUAUCCGGAAUUAUUGGGCGUAAAGAGCUCGUAGGCGGUUUGUCGCGUCUGCUGUGAAAGCCCGGGGCUCAACCCCGGGUCUGCAGUGGGUACGGGCAGACUAGAGUGCAGUAGGGGAGACUGGAAUUCCUGGUGUAGCGGUGAAAUGCGCAGAUAUCAGGAGGAACACCGAUGGCGAAGGCAGGUCUCUGGGCUGUAACUGACGCUGAGGAGCGAAAGCAUGGGGAGCGAACAGGAUUAGAUACCCUGGUAGUCCAUGCCGUAAACGUUGGGCACUAGGUGUGGGGGACAUUCCACGUUUUCCGCGCCGUAGCUAACGCAUUAAGUGCCCCGCCUGGGGAGUACGGCCGCAAGGCUAAAACUCAAAGGAAUUGACGGGGGCCCGCACAAGCGGCGGAGCAUGCGGAUUAAUUCGAUGCAACGCGAAGAACCUUACCAAGGCUUGACAUGAACCGGAAAGGCCUGGAAACAGGUCCCCCACUUGUGGCCGGUUUACAGGUGGUGCAUGGUUGUCGUCAGCUCGUGUCGUGAGAUGUUGGGUUAAGUCCCGCAACGAGCGCAACCCUCGUUCUAUGUUGCCAGCGGGUUAUGCCGGGGACUCAUAGGAGACUGCCGGGGUCAACUCGGAGGAAGGUGGGGACGACGUCAAAUCAUCAUGCCCCUUAUGUCUUGGGCUUCACGCAUGCUACAAUGGCCGGUACAAAGGGUUGCGAUACUGUGAGGUGGAGCUAAUCCCAAAAAGCCGGUCUCAGUUCGGAUUGAGGUCUGCAACUCGACCUCAUGAAGUUGGAGUCGCUAGUAAUCGCAGAUCAGCAACGCUGCGGUGAAUACGUUCCCGGGCCUUGCACACACAGCCCGUCAAG